GACGUAGGGGGCCAGCGUUGCUCGGAAUUACUGGGUGUAAAGGGUUCGUAGGCGGUGUGGCAAGUCGGGAGUGAAAUCUCUGGGCUCAACCCAGAGUCUGCUUCCGAAACUGCUGUGCUUGAGUGUGGGAGAGGCGCGUGGAAUUGCAGGUGUAGCGGUGAAAUGCGUAGAUAUCUGCAGGAACACCCGUGGCGAAAGCGGCGCGCUGGACCACUACUGACGCUGAGGAACGAAAGCGUGGGGAUCGAACAGG
rnacentral:rRNA from 1 species